GAUGAAGAACGCAGCGAAAUGCGAUGAGUAAUGUGAAUUGCAGAAUUCAGUGAAUCAUCGAAUCUUUGAACGCACAUUGCGCCCGCCAGUAUUCUGGCGGGCAUGCCUGUUCGAGCGUCAUUUCAACCAUCAAGCCCCAGGCUUGUGUUGGGGACCUGCGGCUGCCGCAGGCCCUGAAAACCAGUGGCGGGCUCGCUGUCACACCGGGCGUAGUAGAUUUUAUCUCGCUCAGGGCGUGCUGCGGGUUCCGGCCGUUAAAAAGCCUUUUUUACCCAAGGUUGACCUCGGAUCAGGUAGGAAGACCCGCUGAACUUAAGCAUAUCAAUAAGCGGAGGA
rnacentral:misc_RNA from 1 species